GUAAGAAAAAGAAAGAGGAGAGAGUAGAGAGUGUAGGGGGAAGACGUGUGGGAGCGUGAGAAGAGAAAUGAACAAGACUGAAAAGUGGAUUGAGGGAGACGAGAGUGGCGCGGAGAUGCUGAGUAGAGUGAGCAGCGUGCGACCUUUCCUGUUUCCUCCGCCGCUCCACAGGGUUCCUCUUCGCGUCGGAAACGUCCUCGAGCUUGUGGGGCCCUCUCCCUCCGCCAAAACGCACAUUCUCAUCCACGCCGCCAUCACUUCCGUUCUCCCCAAACGCCACGGAGGCCUCGACCACUUGGUCCUCUUUCUCGACCUUGAUUCCCGCUUCGACGUCACGCGCUUCUCCCAAUUGCUCAUUCACCGCAUUACCCUACACGGAACGGAUUCUUAUGAUAAAACCCUCUAUGAUCUCUGCAUGGCCCGUUUUUUGUAUGUCCGUUGUUACGACAGCUUUGAAUUUCUUCACACUCUCAGGACAUUGCAUUGUCGCUUAGAGAAGGAGAAAGAAGUUCAUGGAGUUGGUGUUCACUUGCUCAUGAUUGACAGCAUCGGAGCUUUUCAUUGGAUGGAUCGUGCAUCGAUGUUCUUGUCUCAAAGAGAAAACAGAAAAAAAAAACUUUUCCUUCAGACUGUGUCAGAAGCUGUAGUUCAGAAUAUUAAAAAACUUCUUCAGGUGCACCCUAUGCUUAUUAUAGCUACAAAGUCAGUGAUUUUUGGGAAUAGAUAUUCUACAGCUUCAAAUGAGGUCAAAGGGAAUAUGGAGGAAAGAUGUUCAAAAAAUGUGACAAGAAACCAUCAAAAUUACCUGUAUCGUGAAUACAUGCCUUCUGUCUGGCAGUCCUUUGUUACACACAGAAUACUUGUACGUUCUUCAGAUGAGCAUCCUGUUACAACCAAUAAUCAAAACUCCUCAUUCUAUUUGUUGGAAUGGUUAUUGCCAAGAUUGAGUUUUCCGGAUAAGAUUGUAGUGAAAGAUGCUGGUGUCUUUGUCGAUUCAUGAAGCACUUGUUGCAAAGGGAUCUCUGUAUGUGAUCCAUUAUCCUUCUUUCAGUUGUGGGACGUAAAGGUAAGGAAAAAAGGUUGGAUUGGAAGGAUGAAGUGCAUCCUAUGUUUGGUAGCACAUUUGCAAAAGAAAGGAAAGAAUUGUGGUGAUAGAAUUGUCGCAAGCCCCACCAUUUUCUUACGCCCUUUUGGAAGGAAAUGAUUAUAUAUUUACAUAGAUUCCAUUCAUUUAUAUGUAUUUUCAUUAUAUCAAUCAAAGCCUAACAAAUUUAGAAUGCAAGGACAGCCAGGUGAAUUAUCAUUCCCAACAUACUGAAAGGUAGUGGGCCAUGGUAGAGUGCAAACUGCAUAGCUAGAAAUUCAGGUCGCCAUCUGUUUUACUGUCUAGUUUAAUUGAUUGCUAUGAUUUGAUGUACUCUGGUUUCAUUGUUAUGUUCUCCAGUGUAACACUGCAUGUUAUAACAUCUCUUUCUGCUCUUGUUCAUUAUUUCUUA